rnacentral:rRNA from 1 species
GAGAGCCCCGUACAGUUGGACACCAAGCCUUUGUAAAGCUCCUUCGACGAGUCGAGUAGUUUGGGAAUGCUGCUCAAAAUGGGAGGUAUAUUUCUUCUAAAGCUAAAUACCGGCCAGAGACCGAUAGCGAACAAGUAGAGUGAUCGAAAGAUGAAAAGCACUUUGAAAAGAGGGUUAAACAGCACGUGAAAUUGUUAAAAGGGAAGCGCUUGUGACCAGACUUGCGUCCGGUGAAUCACCCAGCUCUCGCGGCUGGGGCACUUCGCCGGCUCAGGCCAGCAUCAGCUCGCUGUCGGGGACAAAAGCUUCAGGAACGUAGCUCUCUUCGGGGAGUGUUAUAGCCUGUUGCAUAAUACCCUU